rnacentral:lncRNA from 1 species
AAGAAUCAAGAUUAUGUCAUGGUGUCUGUUCACACUAGCAUCAUUCUUUUGAAAUGUUAAAGCCAAUGUUUGCAGAGACAGAGAGCCUUGUUAAAGAGAGCAAGUUACAUGCUAGGAGUGGCACCAACACAAAUGAUAAAACUCAUCUAGCAAAAAGCUCUGAUAUCUCUUUUCAUAAUUUGGUUUUAUUUGAGAACUCAUUUGCAAACAGUUCUAUAAGC